GAAAUGGCAACAACUCAGAAGUCCUGGUAAGACGUGUGCAUCAGGGGUUCGAGAUAAGCCCUACAAAGACUCAGAGGCCUGCCACGUCAGAAAAGUUUUCAAAGGUCCAGUGGUAUGGGGCAUACUGAGGUAUUUCUUCCAAGAUAAAGAAGAAAUCGUUAAACCUUGAACAUCCCAUCUUUAAGAAAAACCUCACCAUUCAAAAGCCAGGUUUAGGCAUGCUAUUGAUCUGUAGUAGGUACUAGUCACCUGAACAUGGGAUAUCAAGGAACAAUGAGACUAGAGCUGUCAAUCAUGGUCUGGGUAUGUUUAGACCUGCCAAGUCAUAAGUUGUGUGGACACUGGAGAAUUCCACCAUUUAAUGAAAACGGCACAUUCAAGAGCAGUCCCUAGCAGGCCUAAAGGACACGAACAGGUGACCCAGAUCUCACAUCACCUACUUAUGUUGCACCAAUGUGUUUCCUUCAGCUCCUGGUUGUAGGGAAUUCUCUAUCACUAGCUGAUGGAGAAGGGAAAACCUUGGGCCUACUUCACAGAUAAGUCAACUCCAUAUUCUGGUUGAACCCAAAAAUGUACCACUAUCUCCCAGUAGCCUGAUGCAAGGGCAGCCCUGAAAGUCAGCAGUAAAGGGAAAUCUUCCCAUUGGAGGGGGCCUUGAACACUUGAACUGAUCCCCAACCUGAUGUGGUGGGAGAAGGGCCCUGAGAUUAUGACAGUCACAUACCCAGAAGCAGUAGAGAAUGGCUUAGCUGGUUACGGUCAAGAGCCCGGAAAGGGCAAGACUGCAAAAUGAGGAAAAAUGGGGUGGAUCAUUCUCAAUGUCCACUAGAGAGCAUUCCCACAGAGUAGGCAUUGAACAACCAAACAGACAGGAUCCUGAGGAUGUCAGCUCACUGCUGCCCUUAACCAUCCCAGUGAAUGAAGCUUUGAUAACAGGACUUAAAUACAUGGGUCUGAAGACCAAGGGCUGGCAGAAGAGGUAGCCCUUCUUAGCACCAUUCCCAGUGACCCACCGGAGGAAUUCAUGCCUCUUGUCCCUGCACCUUUAGGAUCUGAUGAACCUGAUUCCAGGGUCGGGAGGAAAUACCUGAAGCAGGAGACACAGAGCCUUUGAGAACUCAUGGCUCAUGGAUCCCAGCAAUGCAAGAAGAUCCCACCCUAAAUCAAAACACAGAGGGAGAGGAUAGAGGGAAACCCUUGAGGAAAUGAAUCAAGAAGCAGCGAGGCACCAAGAAGGAAGAAACCAAAGAGGAGGCGCCAGACUAAGGGCUUGAGGGGAGAGAAAGCCAGGAGAGAAACUACACACAGUCACCCACAAGCAAACAAAACCUGCACAUACACACAGUCAAAGGAGAAGCAUCAGCCGAGACCACAGAUGAAAUUUAAAGUUGUUAUGGCAACCAGAACAGGUGGGUGGGCACUUAUGCCCACUGAAUUUACAAAAUUAAAGUAAGCAUUGCAUUUGCUAACUAAUUAAAUAAUGCCUUCUAAA
rnacentral:lncRNA from 1 species